GAAAAUUUGUAUCACAAAAUAUAUUACAAAAUAGAGUUAAAAUACCAAAGGUUAAGAAAAGAAAAACAAGAACGAGAUCCUUGAGAGACAGAAAGCAUACUCAGAAAAGAAAAAAAAUGCAUUUGACAUAACAAAUAUUAAUGCGGGAUCGAAACUAAUUCCCGCCGCGUAAAUUAUAUCCAAAGUGAAAUGACUGUAGAUAUUAUUGUAUGAACCCAAAUGAUGAGCGGACGGAUCAUCUCGGCUGUUGACGCGGAU